rnacentral:rRNA from 1 species
CUUGAACGCUGGCGGCAGGCCUAACCCAUGCAAGUCGAACGAGUGGCGGACGGGUGAGUAAUGUAUGGGAAACUGCCUGCUGGAGGGGGAUAACUACUGGAAACGGUGGCUAAUACCGCAUCCCAUCGGUUGAGCCCAGAUGGGAUUAGCUAGUAGGGGGGGUAAAGGCUCACCUAGGCGACGAUCCCUAGCUGGUCUGAGAGGAUGACCAGCCAAACUGGAACUGAGACAAGGUCCAGACUCCUACGGGAGGCAGCAGUGGGGAAUAUUGAACAAUGGGAGCAAGCCUGAUGCAGCCAUGCCGCGUGUAUGAAGAAGGCCUUAGGGUUGUAAAGUACUUUCAGCGGGGAGGCGUUACCCGCAGAAGAAGCACCGGCUAACUCCGUGCCAGCAGCCGCGGUAAUUC